rnacentral:rRNA from 1 species
GAGUUUGAUCGUGGCUCAGAACGAACGUUGGCGGCGUGCUUAACACAUGCAAGUCGAACGAGAACGGUUCCUUCGGGAGCUUAGUAAAGUGGCGCACGGGUGAGUAACACGUAGAUAACCUGUCCAGGUGUUCGGGAUAGCCCUUCGAAAGGGGGGAUUAAUACCGGAUACGUUAGUCUGUUAUAAGGCAGAUUAAGAAAGGUGGCCUCUAUUUAUAAGCUAUCGCAUUUGGAGGGGUCUGCGUACCAUUAGUUUGUUGGUGGGGUAAAGGCCUACCAAGACUUCGAUGGUUAGCGGGUCGUGAGAGGAUGAUCCGUCACACUGGCACUGAAACACGGGCCAGACUCCUACGGGAGGCAGCAGUGAGGAAUAUUGCGCAAUGGGGGGAAACCCUGACGCAGCGACGCCGCGUGGGUGAGGAAGGC